AUUGAACGCUGGCGGCAUGCCUUACACAUGCAAGUCGAACGGUAACAGGUCUUCGGAUGCUGACGAGUGGCGAACGGGUGAGUAAUACAUCGGAACGUGCCUAGUAGUGGGGGAUAACUACUCGAAAGAGUGGAUAAUACCGAAUGAGAUCUACGGAUGAAAGCAGGGGAUCGCAAGACCUUGUGCUACUAGAGCGGCCGAUGGCAGAUUAGGUAGUUGGUGGGUUAAAAGCUUACCAAGCCGACGAUCUGUAGCUGGUCUGAGAGGACGAUCAGCCACACUGGGACUGAGACACGGCCCAGACUCCUACGGGAGGCAGCAGUGGGGAAUUUUGAACAAUGGGCGCAAGCCUGAUCCAGCAAUGCCGCGUGCAGGAUGAAGGCCUUCGGGUUGUAAACUGCUUUUGUACGGAACGAAAAGCCCCGGGUUAAUACCCUGGGGUCAUGACGGUACCGUAAGAAUAAGCACCGGCUAACUACGUGCCAGCAGCCGCCGUAA
rnacentral:rRNA from 1 species